UACGAUGUAUAUGAAAAUAUAUAUGAUUUUUAUCUGUAACUGAGAAAUAGUAUAAUAGCUUUUGUAAAACAAUAUUAUAUUAAACUACUAUAUUAUAUUAUAUUAUAUUAUAUUAUAUUAUAUUAUAUUAUAUGAACACCAGCCCCAGAAUCAGGAAGCUUUGUGCUAGCCCUUACACAUAUUGUUUUAAUUAUUCUAUAACCUAAAUUCAUUUUUAAAUACUCUUUUUUCUUAUCACCCUUGUGCUAGUUACCUGCAAAACCAAAAGAAAAGGUUUAUGGAAAUAUGUUGUAAAAUUAAAUGCCAUUAUUAUACUUGUUAUUUUAAAAUUUAGUUUAUUUGCACAUUUAAUUUUCCUAAUAAUAUUUGUUAUAUAUAUUAAACAUAACAUUCAAUUUCAUUAUUAUUAGAUUUAGAAGGAAAUCUAGUUAUUCAACAGAUAUUUAUUAUACCCUUCACUAUGGAUUAAGAAAUAGGACUCAUUUCUGCAUUGGGUGACUGUGGAUGGAUUUGUUGAGGAGGGGAAGCAAUGGAGGACAAACAAGGGCAUUUCCACUUUACACAGCAAGUGUGUGUGCUUCCACUCAGCUAUUUCUCUUGGAUAAAAUUUUCCCAUUAUCUUGUUCUUCAAGGACUGUGUGGAGGUUGGAAGACAGAGUUUGGCUACACUUGAAUCACUGGGGGUUCUUUUAUGCCCAUAAAUUAAAUGUUUCAAUUCAAACACAUAAAAUUGGCUUAUAGCACGCAGCGUAAUUGAGGCUGAUCUUUUUAUGAAGAUCAUAAUAUUUGACUUGAUUCUUAAAAGAUAAAUUGAAUCUGAGUACUGAAUUGGAGGACUGUAUGCUUCCCAAGGAGAACUCACCAUGGCAAAGGCACAGUUGUGUGACGAAGUCUGGUUGUGGACAGUGGCAACGCCUGGAUUUUCUGAGCGUGGAAUAUGUGGGCCCAAGUGAUGGGAGAAGAAGGAGAGUCAGCGUUUUUAAAGAUGUGGCUCAUCUCCUUGGUCCUGUGGAGGCUUGAUGACCCAGGAGAGGGGAAUGCUAUCCUGCUGAAGCAGGAGUGGGAAUAUUGAGCCUUCAAGGAAGUGGUUCACAUUCAGUUUCAAAGUAGCCUGAAAUAAAUGGAAGAUUUCUACCUGGUUUUGUGCUGAAUGGGCGAAGUGCUAUAUUAUUGACCUAAGCAUGACCAGGUCAGUGAUCCCAAUGUCUCAGACUAAUGGGAAUGGCAAGUCAAGAUCAGGCUCAGAAGAACGUUUAAGCCUUUUCCUAGCCAAUGUACCAAAUGUUUAUGGUUGGCUAAAACCAGUGUGUACAGAAAGCAUCAAAUGCUGCCUCCUCCUCCUCCUGAAUGACUGGGUCCCAAGACUGACCCAAUCCAGAGACCUUCUGCUGACAUUAGCUCACUCACUUCUCCUUGUUCUUGCUGUAUAUAAUAGAGUGCUGAGUUUCUAGGAUGUGACAGGUACAUAUUCAUCAGAGCACAUGGCCUACUAAGUCCCAAUCAUUCUGUAUGUAUGUCUUUGAUUCGUUCCCAUCCCCCCAUUUUUCCUGAAUGUUUUUACUUGUCUGUUCAUACCAAAAUAAUGUUUUACUGAUUUUUUUCCCUGCUUUGGUUAUCAAGACUGGCUUACUACCAUCUGGAAUGGGAUGUCAAGUGUUCUUAGACAGUUCACUUUCCUUAGGCGGAUCACUUGGUCCCUAGCUCAGUGGUACUGGGAGAUGGUGCCUUUAAGAGGGGGCACCUUUUGGGAAAUUCCCUUGUGGGAACUGCACUGUGCCCUUUGUCACAGAGUGACUCACAACUAAACCUGCAUGUCAUUGCUACACGAGAUGAAAAGAUACUUGCCUCUAUAUAGGCAAACAUUAACCAAUUAAUUUAUACUGAAUUCAGGUAUUCCUCCAAAUAUCAAACUCUAUAUACUGGUCUAACGCUAAAACCCCAAAGACUCUUGAGAAUCUCUGUAGAGGUCAAGAGGUUUGGAUGACUAAAUGCAUUUAAGCACAGUUGUGACUAUCUCACAGAAAAAGAGCUGGCAUGGGAAGACGAAAAGCAACUUACACUUCGUUUUUCUCGUUCCUGGUCCUCAGGCACCUGAAAGGCAAUCAGUGAGAUUAAUUUGUGCUGAUGAAAACAGGUGAGAAAUAUACACAUGUACAUGAGAGAAAUAUACACAAGUACACACAAGAAAUAUAUACAUGUACAUGUGAGAAAUAUACACAUGUACAUAUGAGAAAUACAUGUGUACAUGUGAGAAAUAUACAGGUGUGCACAGGAGAAAUAUAUACAUGUACAUGUGAGAAAUAGUUCAACUACUUUCUAAUGCUGUUUCAAGUUAUCCAUUAAAAUAUAAGACUUGGUUAUCCAGAUGAUAUAGAGAGAAUAUUCAGUAAAAAUUGUUACUGGGCAUCAUAAUUGUUUUUUCUUUUUGUGGUGAUGAGAAUCAACCAUCAAUCCUUGGAUUUCUCAACUCAACACAAGGUAGGAUAAUCUAGGAAGGGGAACCUGAUGUCUCCAUCUGAUUUCUCUUGGGCAAGUCUAUAGGGCACUAUCUUCUUUAGGUAUUGAUGUGGAAGGGCCCAGCGCACUCCAUGCAGCACUGUCUCUGAGCAGGUGGUCCUAAGUUGUAUUGGACAGCACAAUGAAUAGGCCAUAGGGAGCAAAUCAGUGAGCAGGACCUUUCCAUGGCCUCAGCUUUAGUUCUAGUCUCCUGUUUCUGUCUUUAGUUCCUGCUCUGACGUGUGACGGAGUGUGACCCAAGCACAGCAAGCUGCAAUAAAACAUUUCCUCCCCAAAUUGCUUUUGGUUAUGGUGUUUAUCACAGCAAUAGAAACUGAGCCAGCUCUCAGGCACAUGUUGUAGCACUGGAUGUUGCUCCUGUUUCUUAGAGCGCAUUUUUAGAUGUUGCCAUAUUUGCUAUGCACAAGAACUACAUGGGAUCAGUCAUGCACCAAGGAGCAUAUGACAUUUCCUGAAAUACAAUGCUACAGGUCAGGUUGUAAAUAUCUUUAUACACUGAAAUGUGAAGAGAGAGUAAUAACAUCAUGGAGAAUCAUGAAUCUAAAGUUCGUAAACGCUUUAGAGAUUAGAAGUGAUUUACUCACCGGGAGACAAGCAGUUAUUGCCAGGAUGGCAGAGAGCAGGAGAAGAGCUUUCAUCUUGUUUAGAAAUGUCCUAGACAUCGUAAGGAAGACUGAAUAUUAGCAGAAAUCCAGGUGAUACAAGCCCGGUACAGUGUGUGGAACUAACAGCUCUCCAGACUUAGCCGGUCAUUUGCAGUUUUAUUGUCUGUUUACCAGUGGGAAACUUUUCAAAAGUAAAUACAGGGAUGAUUUGUGAUUUUACGACUUCAUUAUAUCGUUUCUUUAAAAAUAUUUAUGAAUGCUGUCUUAAAUACCUUACUAACUAGAGAUUUACUGUUCAGUAUGCAAUACAGUUUUCUGAGGAAUAUUUAGCUCAUUUCUCAUGUCAUUAACAUCAUUUUGGGGUGAUUUUGAGAUCAUGGCUAUUUAUUUUUAUCACUUUCUGAGUUUUUCUAUGUACCUAUGAGGCAGAGAUUAAAACAUGAAAGAAUAAAAUAUUGCCACAUCUUCAAUUCUGUCUUUGUUUCUCUCUCAUCAUAUCAGUGAAAAUGUAACUGGACUCUACAGCAUACCAGGAGAAGAGUGAUGAAUUUAAAGACAGGCAUUUAAAAAUUUUGUCAAGUUUAGCAUUCCAGUGACCAACUCUCAGUAUAGAAAAACGAUCGUAUAACCCCAUGCAAAUACACUUUUACCUUCUUUGUUCAAACAUGGUGCUGGCCACUAUCAAGGAAAUAACUAUAAGGCCUGCCUGAGCCCUUUCAGGUGGAGACUAUUCAGAAAUAAUUAAGUCUUCGUAAUGUAAAGCAACAUGGAGUAUACACUAUAAAUAGAAGUUACAAAAUAUUGAGAGCAUACGGAAGAGAUAGAGUGGGGAAUUAAGUUUUGAAGAGUAUAGAAUUGUAGAUAAUUUUAUACAAUGGGAUGAUUUUCAAGGAUUAUUUAAAAUCUCAUUAAACAGAGAGGUAAAAAAUCACAGACUCCUUUGGACCAUGUCUUGUGUUUUAUAAAUGGCUACAUGCCAUAAUUACCAAUGACCUUUUGUUCCCUCAAGCCAUCACAGUAUAUUGUUCUAUUGAAAAGUCUUAACGUUAUGAAGGAGUCAGAUGUGUUUUGUGGCACAACAAUUUCAUUCAUCCAAAGGUUGAUAUAAAAGAGAAUUUAAAUCAUUUUUAUACUAAAAUCAAUACGACAUAUUAGAAUGGGGCAUAAAGGAUAAUACUUUAAGGAGUUACUAACAAAGUGGUAAUUCUCUUUUCUUUUUUUUCUGUCCAGACAGGGUUUCACUCUAUGUGGCUCUGGCUGUUCUGGAACUUGGUAGAUCAGGUUGGCCUCAAACUUUCAGAGGUCCAGAGAUCCAAUCACUGGCCUCUGUCUCCCAAAUGUUUUCACUAAAGAUUUGCAGCACUACAUGCGGCAAAAUCAAAAGUGCUUAAUUCUUUUUACCCAUAGAAUGCCUGAAAUCUUUGCUGACUUGGUCCAUAAAAUUCAAAAUGAUGAAUCUCAUCUCAUUCCCAUCCCCUGCAUCAGUGCCCAUCCUUGCAAAGAUUCCUUUAUGGUCAAUCUUAAACUAUAUCCUUAGUAUAGAAAAAUGGUGGAAAUGAAAAUUUAACAAACAGAAAUAAUAGUCAAAUUAUUGUUUGUAAUUUCAAGCAAGCAUUCCAUGAUAGUUUCAACUCUGGUACUUUAUAAAAAAGGAAUAUGCACACAUAGCAUCGAUCUCCAGAAGAGUUUUUUGACUAUAGCUUGCAGCAGUAAAUCAGAGCCCUCUUACCUGAAACUCUCCACUCAGUUUCUUCCCACUGAUGCUGCCGUCGUCAGUGGUGGAUGACAGGCCCCUCACCAUUGAAUCUCUUUUAUACACUCCCAGUGCAAUGGAAUGGAGAAGUCCAUGGCUGGAAAGCCACUCCCUGGGAUCAAUCAGUAUCCUACCAGCUCAACCAUCAUAAUCCAUUGAAACUGAGAAAUGAGUGACAUUGUCAGUUUCAUCGGAACUAUGGCUGAAUGAUGCUGAAUAUUUCCUUUGUGGUUUUCCUUUACGUUUUGUCUCUCAUGGGUUUGGGGCUUAUUGCUUUACAGACAUGAGUGUUACAUAUCUAUUAAACCACCUAAUCUCUAAAACAGCAGCAAGUGCAAAAAUGAUUAUUAGACCUUCCCAUUGUGUAGGUCAAGGGCCUGAGAAAUUGAGAGGGUUAGUACUUAAUUUAAAAUCCACAACUAGAGUUCUGCCAAUAUUGUGUUGACUGCUGCAGUUGGUUUCCCAGACCCGCCUAUUACCAGCAUUUUAUAUUAUCACUCUAAGGGUGGAAAAACCCAAAGAAACACUAAAGUUUAUUAUCUGUAACAACAUUUAUCCUUGUUUCACUGACUCAAAGAGAACUGAACUGGUGAUCUGCUAAAUACAAUAUAUCACCAUAUAUGUUUUCAUUUUGAACAUUUGGAGGUCAGAGUAGGCUCUCAUCCAGAGGUAGAAAUGUUAAGCGCAUGUUUGCUCCCCCACCCCGAGUCUUUCUGUCUUUCUGUCUGUCUGUCUGUUUGUCUGUCUGCCUGUGUGUGUGUGUGUGUGUGUGUGUGUGUGUGUGUGUGUGAUUUUUCUUCUUUGAAAAAGAGUUUGAGGGGAUUCAUAAGAAACAAGGUGAACAGAUUGUCAAACAAAAGGCCAUAAGCUUUUGGGACUCAGAUGUCAGAGGAAAGAUUUAAUGUGUUAACAUAGUAGAAUACUUUAAAAGGAAAAACUUUAAGUAUCAAGAACACCCAUCUCUGUGGAUAUUCAGGAAGCAGCUUGCAGACCACAGACUGAGGUGUGGCUGAAGGCACUGUUGUGUGGCCAAUGGAAUUAAGUGAUCUCUUUGCACCAUUUCAACUAUAAUCCAUAGACAGGGUGGGACAGAAGGAAAUGCCACUGAUACAUUCUAGCAGUCAUGCAAAUACAAACUCCUUUAAUCAUUAGUGGGUUAGAAUUAGUAGUAGGGAAAUUCACUUUGAAAACCACAGUAUGGUUGCUAGACUGCAGUGGAGGACCCAUUGGUUCUUAUUUCAGAAAGAAGCCAGAAGUCUACUAGACCACACAUGUGGUCUGUAGAAUUUGGAUCGUGGAGAAAAGUUUGACGCAUUUUAGAUAAUUAUCAUCAUCUUGUAUGAAUUGAAAACCUAGAGAAAUAACCUAACCUUUCUUUUUUUUUUUUUUAUUAACUUGAGUAUUUCUUAUAUACAUUUUGAGUGUUAUUCCCUUUCCCAGUUUCCGGGCAAACAUCCCCCUCCCCUCCCCUUCUUUAUGGGUGUUCCCCUCCCCAUCCUCCCCCCCUUGUCGCCCUCCCCCCAACAAUCUAGUUCACUGGGGAUUCAGUCUUAGCAGGACCCAGGGCUUCCCCUUCCACUGGUGCUCUUACUAGGAUAUUCAUUGCUACCUAUGAGGUCAGAGUCCAGGGGUCAGUCCAUGUAUAGUCUUUAGGUAGUGGCUUAGUCCCUGGAAGCUCUGGUUGCUUAGCAUUGUUGUACAUAUGGGGUCUCGAGCCCCUUCAAGCUCUUCCAGUUCUUUCUCUGAUUCCUUCAACGGGGGUCCUAUUCUCAAUUCAGUGGUUUGCUGCUGGCAUACGCCUCUGUGUUUGCUGUAUUCUGGCUGUGUCUCUCAGGAGCGAUCUACAUCCAGCUCCUGUCGGCCUGCACUUCUUUGCUUCAUCCAUCUUGUCUAAUUGGAUGGCUGUAUAUGCAUGGGCCACAUGUGGGGCAGGCUCUGAAUGGGUGUUACUUCUGUGUCUGUUUUAAUUUUUGCCUCUCUAUUCCCUGCCAAGGGUAUUCUUGUUCCCCUUUUAAAGAAGGAGUGAAGCAUUCACAUUUUGAUCAUCCCUCUUGAGUUUCAUUUGUUCUAGGCAUCUAGGGUAAUUCAAGCAUUUGGGUUAAUAGCCACUUAUCAAUGAGUGCAUACCAUGUGUGUUUUUCUGUGAUUGGGUUACCUCACUCAGGAUGAUAUUUUCCAGUUCCGACCAUUUGCCUAUGAAUUUCAUAAGGUCAUUGAUUUUGAUAGCUGAGUAAUAUUCCAAUGUGUAGAUGUACCACAUUUUCUGUAUCCAUUCCUCUGUUGAAGGGCAUCUGGGUUCUUUCCAGCUUCUGACUAUUAUAAAUAAGGCUGCGAUGAACAUAGUGGAGCACGUGACUUUUUUAUAUGUUGGGAAAUAUUUUGGGUAUAUGCCCAAGAGAGGUAUAGCUGAAUCCUCAGGCAGUUCAAUGUCCAAUUUUCUGAGGAAACUCCAGACUGAUUUCCAGAAUGGUUGUACCAGUCUGCAAUCCCACCAACAGUGGAGGAGUGUUCCUCUUUCUCCACAUCCUCGCCAGCAUCUGCUGUCACCUGAGUUUUUGAUCUUAGCCAAUCGCACUGGUGUGAGGUGAAAUCUCAGGGUUGUUUUGAUUUGCAUUUCCCUUAUGACUAAAGAUGUUGAACAUUUCCUUAGGUGUUUCUCAGCCAUUCGGCAUUCCUCAGCUGUGAAUUCCUUGUUUAGCUCUGAAUCCCAUUUUUUAAUAGGGUUAUUUGUCUCCCUGCAGUCUAACUUCUUGAGUUCUUUGUAUAUUUUGGAUAUAAGGCCACUAUCUGUUGUAGGAUUGGUAAAGAUCUUUUCCAAAUCUGUUGGUUGCUGUUUUGUACUAACCACAGUGUCCUUUGCCUUAGAGAAGCUUUGCAGUUUUAUGAGAUCCCAUUUGUCGAUUCUUGAUCUUAGAGCAUACGCCAUUGGUGUUUUGUUCAGGAAAUUUUUUCCAGUGCCCAUGUGUUCCAGAUGCUUCCCUAGUUUUUCUUCUAUUAGUUUGAGUGUGUCUGGUUUGAUGUGGAGGUCCUUGAUCCACUUGGACUUAAGCUUUGUACAGGGUGAUAAGCAUGGAUCGAUCUGCAUUCUUCUACAUGUUGACCUCCAGUUGAAUCAGCACCAUUUGCUGAAAUUGCUAUCUUUUUUCCAUUGGAUGGUUUUGGCUCCUUUGUCAAAAAUCAAGUGACCAUAGGUGUGUGGGUUCAUUUCUGGGUCUUCAAUUCUGUUCCAUUGGUCUAACUGUCUGUCUCUGUACCAAUACCAUGCAGUUUUUAUCACUAUUGCUCUGUAAUACUGCUUGAGUUCAGGGAUAGUGAUUCCCCCUGAAGUCCUUUUAUUGUUGAGGAUAAUUUUUGCUAUUCUGGGUGUUUUGUUAUUCCAGAUGAAUUUGCAAACUGUUCUGUCUAACUCUUUGAAGAAUUGGAUUGGUAUUUUGAUGGGGAUUGCAUUGAAUCUGUAGAUCACUUUUGGUAAAAUGGCCAUUUUUACUAUAUUAAUCCUGCCAGUCCAUGAGCAUGGGAGAUCUUUCCAUCUUCUGAGGACUUCUUCAAUUUCUUCAGAGUCUUGAAGUUCUUAUUGUACAAAUCUUUUACUUGCUUGGUUAAAGUCACACCGAGGUACUUUAUACUAUUUGGGUCUAUUAUGAAGGGUGUUGUUUCCCUAAUUUCUUUCUCAGCUUGUUUCUCUUUUGUAUAGAGGAAGGCUACUGAUUUAUUUGAGUUAAUUUUAUACCCAGCCACUUUGCUGAAGUUGUCUAUCAGCUUUAGUAGUUCUCUGGUGGAACUUUUGGGAUCACUUAAAUAUACUAUCAUAUCAUCUGCCAAAAGUGAUAUUUUGACUUCUUCUUUUCCGAUCUGUAUCCCCUUGACCUCCUUUUGUUGUCUGAUUGCUCUGGCUAGAACUUCAAGAAUUAUAUUGAAUAAGUAGAGAGAGAGUGGGCAGCCUUGUCUAGUCCGUGAUUUUAGUGGGAUUGCUUCAAGUUUCUCUCCAUUUAGUUUAAUGUUAGCAACUGGUUUGCUGUAUAUGGCUUUUACUAUGUUUAGGUAUGGGCCUUGAAUUCCUAUUCUUUCCAGGACUUUUAUCAUGAAGGGGUGUUGAAUUUUGUCAAAUGCUUUCUCAGCAUCUAAUGAAAUGAUCAUGUGGUUCUGUUCUUUCAGUUU